rnacentral:rRNA from 1 species
UACAGAGGGUGCGAGCGUUAAUCGGAAUUACUGGGCGUAAAGCGCACGUAGGUGGCGACGUAAGUCGGGUGUGAAAGCCCCGGGCUCAACCUGGGAAUUGCAUUCGAGACUGCAUUGCUGGAGUACGGAAGAGGAGGGCGGAAUUCCCGGUGUAGCGGUGAAAUGCGUAGAUAUCGGAAGGAACAUCAGUGGCGAAAGCGACUUCCUGGACCAAUACUGACGCUCAUGUGCGAAAGCGUGGGGAGCAAACAGG